rnacentral:rRNA from 1 species
AGUGAACGCUGGCGGUAGGCCUAACACAUGCAAGUCGAACGGCAGCACAGUAAGAGCUUGCUCUUACGGGUGGCGAGUGGCGGACGGGUGAGGAAUACAUCGGAAUCUACUUUUUCGUGGGGGAUAACGUAGGGAAACUUACGCUAAUACCGCAUACGACCUACGGGUGAAAGCAGGGGAUCUUCGGACCUUGCGCGAUUGAAUGAGCCGAUGUCGGAUUAGCUAGUUGGCGGGGUAAAGGCCACCAAGGCGACGAUCCGUAGCUGGUCUGAGAGGAUGAUCAGCCACACUGGAACUGAGACACGGUCCAGACUCCUACGGGAGGCAGCAGUGGGGAAUAUUGGACAAUGGGCGCAAGCCUGAUCCAGCCAUACCGCGUGGGUGAAGAAGGCCUUCGGGUUGUAAAGCCCUUUUGUUGGGAAAGAAAAGCAGCAGGUUAAUACCCCGCUGUUCCGACGGUACCCAAAGAAUAAGCACCGGCUAACUUCGUG